UUAGGAUGAGGUCCCUCCAUAAAAAUGCAAGGGGAUCAGUUAAACUUUCACUUCUAAUUUAUUCAUGAAGGAGCGAGGUCUUGCCUGGCCGUGCUGUGCGUCAUCCUGUCAGAAUGACUUUCUCUCUUGUUGAGAAGGGAGAUGGAAAGACAGGAAAUCGGGGGCUCCAGCUCUCCUAGUAAUUGCUGUGAGAAUAAAAAUCAGGAUUAUUUGUGCCCAUGAGGGAAACACGAAGGAUUGUCAGUAUUCAUUUGCUAUCAGAACUGCCUUUGAACUUCAGGGAAGCCGCCAUCUUGUUUUAGUUCACUCCUCUAAAGCACAGUGUCUGCAACAUGAAACACUAGUAAGACACAGUUAUCCAGAAAGAGCCCUAGAGAUGGAUAAGGAACCUGUUGGAAUGCUCUGAUAUUAAGAAAAAAAAAAUUAAAUUCAAAACCAAAAACAAGUCACAAGAAAAUUUGGAAAACAGGCUUUUCCUAUCCGGAUGAACAGAGAUAAUUUGUGUCGAUGGAUGUUCUGUGAAGGCCUAUUGUGUCGAGCAGCGUAUUAAAACAUAAACAUGGCUCUUCCCCCAAGAAACUUACAUUUCAGUAAGGGAGCCUGGCCAAAAUGGAAAACUGCAAGGUUCAAAUCCUGGAGUGCAGAAGAAGCAUUAGGCAUUGACCCUGUGGCUUCCUAAUAGAUCCGCAAAGUGCUUUGUUCCUGGAAAUCAUCCGAUGAGUAGUUCAGUGCUAUUGUAUAUCUUGUUAGAGCAGCCGAAGUGCCACAAAAUGAACUAAAAUCUCCCUGCAGAGUUGCUGUAUCAUAUGCUGAGAACAUUCGGAACUUUCAACAAAUUCAUGUUACGAUCCUGGGUAGCCAUGGUUAAAUCUGUACAGGGGUUAAAUGAGAAAUAUGAGCCUGCUGUUAAGUGUCUUCUGAGAGUGACAAAGCUCUGGCCAUAAGGGAUGGGAGAGGAGGGAUUUCUUCUCAGCCUUCCAGCCCUUUCCAGCUGUAUCACAGACAGGAGACAUAAUGCAAAGGGGCUCAGACAUUGACUUCCUGGAUCUUUGCGGCCCCAGGCAUUGACCCCCUCUACCUGGCUUUUCCUACGCUGUAAAAUGAGGAUCCUCCUAUAUUAUGGAGUUUAUUGUGACAACUAAAUAGCUGAGAAGAAGGACAUCUCAUUUGUUUUAACUAUGCAGUUUCCUGUCUAUCUAUCUAUCUAUCCCAUCAAUCUAUCAAUCAAUCUAUCAAUCUGUCUAUCCCUAUCUAUCUAUCCAUCUAUCUAUCUAUAUCUGUCUAUAUCUAUCUAACAUUUAUCUAUCAUCUAUUCAUCUAUCAGCUAUCUUCUGUCUAUCAAUAUUUCAAUCAAUCUCUCUAUCCCUAUCAAUUAAUCUAUCUACCUACCUAUCAACUAUCCAUCUAUCUCUAUCAUCUAUCAUCUAUUCAUCUAUCAUUUAUCAUCUGUCAAUCCAUCUUCCUACUAUCUAUCAAAAGCAACACAUUUUCUUCCUGACUUUAAAAAUAUUUAAGUGGGCCGGGAGGAUGGCUCACGCCUGUAAUCCCAGCACUUUGGGAGGCCUAGGCGGGCGGAUCACGAGGUCAGGAGAUGGAGACCAUCCUGGCUAACAUGGUGAAACCCCGUCUCUACUAAAAAUACAAAAAAAAAAAAAAAUUAACCAGGCGUGGUGGAGGGCGCCUGUAGUCCCAGCUACUCGGGAGACUGAGGCAGGAGAAUGGGGAGAACCCGGGAGGCGGAGCUUGCAGUGAGCCGAGAUCAUGCCACUGCACUCCAGCCUGGGCGACAGAGCAAGACUCCAUCUCAAAAGAAACAAAAACAAAAACGUAAGUGAUACUCUGUCCACUCUUUUGAUUGAGGAGGUCUGAUUUUCAGGCUUUGGAUUUUAUUAUGUCUUCAAUAUAAUAAUUGUUCCAUGUAUCUCUCCUAAAUUGCCAUUUGAAAAACUGCUUUUCUGAAGUUUAAAGUGCACAUUUUGAUACAUCUUGACACAUAUAUACACCCAUGAAAUCAUCACCACAAUCAGGAUAGUAGAUCUAUCCAUUACCGCCAAGGUUUACUUGCACUCCUUUGAACUUUCUCCCCACUCCUCACCCCCUGCCUAUCCCCAAUCCUUAAGCAAUCACUGAUUUGCUUUCUGUCACUAUCAGUUAAUUUGAAUUUUUCAGAAAUGUAUAUAAAUAAAAUCAUUCGACGUGUAUGCUCUUUUUCUGUUCACCCGGUACAAUUUGAGAUUUAGCCAUGUUUUUGCAUGUGUCAAUAGUUUAUUUUUUUGUUGCUCAGUACUAAUCCAUUUUAUGGAUACAGAGAAAUGUAUUAAUGCAAUCCCAUAUUAAUAGGCAUUUGGGUUGUUUCCAGGUUUGGGCUGUUACAAAUAAAGCUGCUAUGAACAUUUUUGUGCAAGUCUUUUUAUGAGUAUAUUCCUUUAUUUCUUUUGGGUAAAUACCUAGAAGUGGGAUGGGUGUAUCACAUGGUACGUAAAUAUUUAAAUUUUUAAGAGAAUGCCAAACUGUUUUUCAAAGUAAUUGCACCAUUUUAUAUUCCCACCAGGAAUAUAUGAGAAUUCCAGUUCCUCUACAUACUCACAGACAUAUUGUAUGGUCAGU
rnacentral:lncRNA from 1 species